rnacentral:misc_RNA from 1 species
CGCACAUUGCGCCCUUCGGAAUUCCGGGGGGCAUGCCUGUCCGAGCGUCAUUGCACCAUUCAAGCCUGGCUUGGUCUUGGGUCCUCGCCCCGUCACCGGGGCGUGCCCGAAAACGAGGGGCGGUCCGGCCGGACUUCGAGCGCAGUGAAAUCUUUUUCCGCUUUGGAAGUUUCUCGGCCGGCCACCAGCCCGAACCGGGGCUCCCUCCGGGGACCCUUCCACCAACAAUUGACCUCGGAUCAGGUAGGGAUACCCGCUGAACUUAA